GCGUCGGUAGCGCAAUUGGUUAAACGCGCCGCCCCCGGAACGGGUGUUGCUGGUUCGAGUCCCGCCCGACGUCA